rnacentral:rRNA from 1 species
AACGAACGUUAGCGGCGCGCCUAACACAUGCAAGUCGAGCGAGAAAGGGCUUCGGCCCCGGUAAAGCGGCGCACGGGUGAGUAACACGUGGAUAACCUACCCCUUGGUGGUGGAUAACCUUCCGAAAGGAGGGCUAAUACAGCGUAAGACCACGACUUCGAAAGAGGUUGGGGUAAAAGUGGGCCUCUGUACACAAGCUCACGCCAGGGGAUGGGUCCGCGGCCCAUCAGCUAGUUGGUAGGGUAACGGCCUACCAAGGCGAAGACGGGUAGCUGGUCUGAGAGGAUGAUCAGCCACACUGGAACUGAGACACGGUCCAGACUCCUACGGAGGCAGCAGUGGGGAAUCUUGCGCAAUGGACGAAAGUCUGACGCAGCGACGCCGCGUGAGUGAUGAAGG